GACAGAGGUGCCAAGCGUUAGGCGGAAUCACUGGGCUUAAAGCGUGUGUAGGCGGAUUGGUAAGUACCUUGUGAAAUCCCACAGCUCAACUGUGGAACUGCUCGGUAUACUGCUUAUCUUGAGCCACUUAGGGGCUGUCGGAACAAAUGGUGGAGCGGUGAAAUGCGCAGAUAUCAGGAGGAACACCGGUGGCGAAGGCGGGUCUCUGGGCCGAUACUGACGCUGAGGAGCGAAAGCGUGGGGAGCGAACAGG
rnacentral:rRNA from 1 species